rnacentral:rRNA from 1 species
AGAUGGCGACCGGCGCACGGUGAGUAACACGUAUCCAACCUGCCGAUAACUCGGGGAUAGCCUUUCGAAAGAAAGAUUAAUACCCGAUGGUAUAAUCAGACCGCAUGGUCUUGUUAUUAAAGAAUUUCGGUUAUCGAUGGGGAUGCGUUCCAUUAGGCAGUUGGUGAGGUAACGGCUCACCAAACCUUCGAUGGAUAGGGGUUCUGAGAGGAAGGUCCCCCACAUUGGAACUGAGACACGGUCCAA